rnacentral:lncRNA from 1 species
CGAGCCUGAACAAGUGAGACUCCGUGUCAAAAAAAAAAACCACACACACACAACACACACACACAAGAGAACGCAACUGUGUCUUAUCUAGGACCUGGAAGCCCCCUCCCUUCUUUGAGUUGGCCCACCUUUCCAUUCAGUUUUAAGAAAAUCACCUUCACUUCAUUGCCCAGUGCAGGUUUCUCGGUUUCCACUAAGUCUGUGUUCCUGGCCUAUCGUCCUCAAACUUGCCUCAGGAUAGUUAACUUUCGUUUUUAUCUAUAUAUUGCCUGUUAUGUUAACCUCUUGGUUUGAAGGUUCUGACUCCCAGGAAGUAAAUCCCUAGCUGGCGACAGCUGGAAACAUUCACUCAUCACCAAGUUCCCAGGUGCUGCCUCCCUCACCUGCCACUUCCCAGGUGCUCAGUCCCAAACGGCAGUAACAGGUAUCCUCUCCAGGUUGAAGCACUUAGGAGCUGGGGCAUGACUCUCAGCCCCUCCUUGGGGGCCACAAACUGAGCUAGUGCAAUCAGAAGGUGGCAUCAGCCUGGAUCCUGAGUCACCACAUGGAGGGCUGUGUAGUCAGUGGAUUGAGAGUCAAGAGGCAGCUUGCCUGGGUCCAGCCACUAGAAUGUUGCCAUUUGUUACUGCAGCAUAGCCUAAUAUAUUCUGAUUAAACCAAUGCAACAUAAGCUCAUCACAUACUGUAGACAGUUGAAAGUUUUUUUUUUUUUUUUUUUUUUGGAGACGGGUCUCACUCUGUGGCCCAGUCUGGAGUUCAGUGGUUCACUAUCUCACUGCAGCAUUGACCUCCCGGGCUCAAGCCAUCCUCCCACCUCAGCCUCUCGCAUAGCUGGGACCACGGGUGCACCUCUACCAUGCCUUUUUUUUUUUUUUUUUUAGGGGGAUAGAGAUGGAGUCCUACUAUGUUAGGUUGCCGAGACUGGUCUCACUCUUGGGUUCAAGUGAUUCUCCUGCCUUGGACUACCAAGGUGCUGAGAUUACAGGCACAAGCCAUUACACCAGGCGGAAAAUGGUAAGAAAAAAAAACAGCAGAGCAAGGUGCUGAGAUUACAGGCACGAGCCAUUACACCAGGCUGAAAAUGCUAAGAAAAAAAAAAAAACAAAUUUUAAGAGACCUGAUUGAUUUGGUCUUCAGGGGAAGGUGAGGGUUGGAAAGAGCCGAGAUCUGGCAGGUAAUGAAGGCAGGUUAACAUUUGUCAAACACUGUGCCACGUGCCGGGCACUGGGCUAAUGUUUAUAGACAUCCAAGCAAAAGCCACACUCAAAAAAAGCCUGUAGCAUGGUGACUAGAUCAGCCAGUGAAGACCUCUCUCCGAUUAGCCGCUGGGCACUGAGGAUCCCUUUGCCCUGCUUUGUGGGGCAAAGCAAAGACAAGGACAUCCGAGCAGGGACGUUCAGAGGGAACUACAGUGGCACAGCCCUCAAGGCUGGGAUGCCUAGUGCCUUUGAGAACCAGCAAGAGGCGUGAGGGGGCGCUGGCAGAUGACUCAGCCCAGGUGUUACUCUGAGUGAGACCGAAGUCUUAGGAGGGUUCUGAGCAGACAUGAUUUCUCUUUUCAGGGCUCAGGAGGAUCCCCCCUGGCUAGCUUGGUGGCUCAUGCCUGUAAUCCCAGCACUUUGGGAGACCCAGGCAGGUGCAUCACUUGAGCUGAGUUGGAGACCAGACUGGGCAACAUGGAUAAACCUCAUUUCUACCAAAAAGUACAAAAAAGUUAGCUGGGUGUGGUGAUGUGCUUGUAGUCCCAGGUACUUGGUAGGGGGUCGGGGUGAGUCGAGGUAGGAGGAUUGCUGGAGCCUGGGAGGUGGGGGCUACAGCGAGCUGAGGUAGUGCCACUGCACUGCAGCCUGGGUGACAGAGUGAGACCCCAUCUCGGGGGGAAAAAUAUCUUUCUAGGGCCAGCGGUUUCAGCUAGGGUUGUGUCCCCCAGGGCACACCUGCCAACGACUGGAGACACUUUCAUUGUCACCACUCAGGGGCGGCUACGAAGUUCUAGUGGGUGGAAGCCAGGGAUACGGCUGAUGCCAGGGCACUCCUCCCCUCCCCCCACCCCAAUUGCUGGGGGGUGCAGUCCUCUACUUCGAGAUGCUUCCAAUGCCAGGGCCCGCCCCACUCCCAAACAGACUUUUAUGCUAAGGCCAUACUAGAUGUUUUCCUCAAGACUCGCUGGAGGGAGCAGCACGGGCCUGUGCCAGGGGAGCCAGUGAAAGCACAGGCACUGCCAGAGCCUGGACAGACUCUCGGGUCUCCUGGGAUGAAUGAUGACCCGGGAAGUGGUGGGGACUCCCCUGAUACAGCAGUCUCUGCAGUUGCCUCCGAGUUAAGUCAUUGCCUCUAACUUCUAGGAACGUUCUCCUGGGGCUGUGGCAGAUCUAAGGAGGUACAGCUGGGCCUGAGCCUGGAAAAUUACUAAGGGACUGGUUAAUACGAUCCACACCUGCUCCAAGCUUGUACAAGCCCAUGGCAAACUCAGGUCCCAAGACAGAGCCUGGGUCUCCCACCACCUGCGUUAGCUUCACCCAGGGUGCUUAACACUCCCUGGUCCCACCCCAGAACCAGCGCUGCUGCUGGUAGGACCUGGGACCCUACAUUUUCAUGGGCAUCGAAUAUCAUCUCCCACCCUGACAGAGACCACCUCCACCCUCCUAGAUCCACGUCUUGGUGUGUCUACUUCCAAGCUCUAUUACUUUAGAGAGCUCUCAGCUGUGACAGGUUUUGUGUUUUAUCCUAUUGUCUUAAGCCAAGGGAGGAUCUCGGUCCUCACUUCCAACCAUGAGGCAGACAUUCGUACAGGGACCAAUGCUUUAUCAUCGCACAUCAAGCCAUUUGAACACAGCAGCUCCCCUCUGUACUCAAGUCUUACAUGCCCAUUAUGGGGAUUGGAAAACUACAGCCAAUUAUAAAAAUAAAGAUGAUAGUGGCCAGGUGUGGUGGCUCUCGACUGUAAUCCCACUUUCAGGCUGAGGUGAGAGGAUUGCUUGAGACCAGGAGUUUGAGACCAGCCUCGGCAACAUAAAACCCCAUCUCUCCAAAAAAUAAAAUUAGUCAGGUGUGGUGGCAUGCACCUGUAGUCUCAGCGGCUCUGGAGGCUGGGGCAGGAAGAUGACUCAAACCCAGGACUUCAAGGCUGUAGUGAGCUAUGAUUGUACCACUACAUUCCAGCCUGACUGGCAGAGAUAAGCUGUCCCUACUAAAAUAAAAAUUACAGUCACCAGUAAUUCUACUAGCCACAGACAACAGCAUCCAUUAACACUUUUUUUAUCCAGUUUCUAUUUCCUAUGCAUAUCUUUAGCAUAAUUAGGAGCUUACCAAAUACAGCAUUUUUUUAAAAACCCUAUUAGAGUGUUAUUGACUUAAAAGGGAUAAUUGACAAUUAAACAGCACAUGUUUCAUCUGUAUAAUAGAAUCUUUUCACACUUGUGUACACACAUGACAAGAAAAUGAACAUUGCCAGGUACAGUGGCUCACACCUGUAAUCCCAGCACUUUGGGAGGCUGAGGGAGACAGAUCACUUGAGCUCAGGAAUUCGAGAUCAGCCUGGCCAACAUGGUUAAACCCCGUCUCCACAAGUAGAUAAGUUAGCUGGGUGGUGGCAGGUACCUCUAAUCCCAGCUACUCGGGAGGCUGAGGUAGAAUUGCUUGAACCUGGGAGCCAAGCAGAGGUUGCAGUGAGCCAAGAUCACACCAAUGCACUCCAGCCUGGGAGACAACGAGACUCCAUCU